rnacentral:rRNA from 1 species
AUUCCAGCUCCAAUAGCGUAUAUUAAAGUUGUUGCAGUUAAAAAGCUCGUAGUUGGAUUUCUGGCGGGAGCGACCGGUCGGCGCUUAACGGCGUGUGCACUGGAGUUGUCUCUUGCCAUCCUUGAGGAGAACGUGUCUGGCAUUAAGUUGUCGGGCUUGGGAUCCUCAUCGUUUACUGUGAAAAAAUUAGAGUGUUUAAAGCAGGCAUUUGCUGUGAAUACAUUAGCAUGGAAUAAUAAGAUAGGACUUUGGUGCUAUUUUGUUGGUUUGCGUACCAAGGUAAUGAUUAAUAGGGAUAGUUGGGGGUAUUCGUAUUCAAUUGUCAGAGGUGAAAUUCUUGGAUUUAUGGAAGACGAACAACUGCGAAAGCAUUUACCAAGGAUGUUUUCAUUG